GGAUUAGAUACCCUGGUAGUCCACACCGUAAACGAUGUAUGCUUGGUGUUCCUACUAUGUAGGAGUGCCGGAGGAAAUCCGUUAAGCAUACCACCUGGGAAGUACGAUCGCAAGGUUGAAACUCAAAUGAAUUGACGGGGGCCCGCACAAGCGGUGGAGCAUGUGGUUUAAUUCGAUGCAACGCGAAGAACCUUACCUACACUUGACAUCCAUAGAACUUUCCAGAGAUGGAUUGGUGCCUUCGGGAACUAUGAGACAGGUGCUGCAUGGCCGUCGUCAGCUCGUGUUG
rnacentral:rRNA from 1 species